rnacentral:sRNA from 1 species
AUAUUAAAUAAAUUAUUAUAUCAUAAACAUCACCACAACCGAUAGAAUCAUCACCACUACCCUCUGAACCAUCACGGCAUACAAUCAUUUUUGCACAAAAAGUUAACCAUCGGUCCGUCAGAAAACUUAACAAUGUACAAUCAUCUCCAUCCUCCAGCCUUCUUCUCUUCCACGAUCACCAUCUUUUUCUGCCAUAACAACGUGGAUCUAACUUCAAUUCCUCCAAAAAGAAAACCUUAGCGGCGAUGUUUUGUUUUAAUAAUAGUUGUAUUCACUCACCAAAUAGUUAAGAUUUUUGUUUAUACACUCACCAAAUACACGUUUGUCAACCUUUUUCUUCUCUUUGCCAAAAAAAAAUCAUUUGCUACACUUUUAAAUACUUCCAAAUUUGAGGAUAGCCACCUAUUUU